rnacentral:rRNA from 1 species
UACAGAGGUCUCAAGCGUUGUUCGGAUUUACUGGGCGUAAAGCGCGUGUAGGCGGCCCUGCAAGUCGGAUGUGAAAUCCCACGGCUCAACCGUGGAAGUGCAUUCGAAACUGCAGGGCUAGAGUCCUGGAGAGGAAGGUGGAAUGCUUGGUGUAGAGGUGAAAUUCGUAGAUAUCAAGCGGAACACCGGUGGCGAAGGCGGCCUUCUGGACAGUGACUGACGCUGAGACGCGAAAGCGUGGGGAGCAAACAGG